ACGAGCGGCGGACGGGUGAGUAAUGUAUGGGGAUCUGCCCGAUAGAGGGGGAUAACUACUGGAAACGGUGGCUAAUACCGCAUAAUGUCUACGGACCAAAGCAGGGGCUCUUCGGACCUUGCACUAUCGGAUGAACCCAUAUGGGAUUAGCUAGUAGGUGGGGUAAAGGCUCACCUAGGCGACGAUCUCUAGCUGGUCUGAGAGGAUGAUCAGCCACACUGGGACUGAGACACGGCCCAGACUCCUACGGGAGGCAGCAGUGGGGAAUAUUGCACAAUGGGCGCAAGCCUGAUGCAGCCAUGCCGCGUGUAUGAAGAAGGCCUUAGGGUUGUAAAGUACUUUCAGCGGGGAGGAA
rnacentral:rRNA from 1 species